ncrna:unclassified sequences c-di-GMP-II-GAG riboswitch
CAAGCAAGGGGACGCGACGAUCCUCGAGCCGUCUACGAGACGGUCGCCGAGCUGGAGCAGGGUUCCAGCGGGCUCGAGGGGAGCGAGUGGCGAGACCGACCCCCGGACCG